rnacentral:rRNA from 1 species
GACGAACCGUGCGAACGUUAUUCGGAAUCACUGGGCUUAAAGCGCGUGUAGGCGGGUCGGCACGUCGGGAGCUGAAAUCCCCCGGCUCAACCGGGGAAGGGGCGCCGAUACGACCGGCCUGGAGGGACGUAGGGGGGGCUGGAACUUCCGGUGGAGCGGUGAAAUGCGUUGAGAUCGGAAGGAACGCCCGUGGCGAAAGCGAGCCCCUGGACGUCUACUGACGCUGAGACGGCGAAAGCCAGGGGAGCGAACGGG